GACGAACGCUGGCGGCGUGCUUAACACAUGCAAGUCGAACGGAAAGGCCCUGCUUUUGUGGGGUGCUCGAGUGGCGAACGGGUGAGUAACACGUGAGUAACCUGCCCUUGACUUUGGGAUAACUUCAGGAAACUGGGGCUAAUACCGGAUAGGAGCUCCUGCUGCAUGGUGGGGGUUGGAAAGUUUCGGCGGUGGGGGAUGGACUCGCGGCUUAUCAGCUUGUUGGUGGGGUAGUGGCUUACCAAGGCUUUGACGGGUAGCCGGCCUGCGAGGGUGACCGGCCACAUUGGGACUGAGAUACGGCCCAGACUCCUACGGGAGGCAGCAGUGGGGAAUAUUGCACAAUGGGCGGAAGCCUGAUGCAGCAACGCCGCGUGCGGGAUGACGGCCUUCGGGUUGUAAACCGCUUUCGCCUGUGACGAAGCGUGAGUGACGGUAAUGGGUAAAGAAGCACCGGCUAACUACGUG
rnacentral:rRNA from 1 species